GAUGAACGCUGGCGGCGUGCCUAAUACAUGCAAGUCGAGCGAAGCGGGCACGGGUGAGUAACACGUGUAGAACCUCCUAGAAGACUGGGAUAACUUCGGGAAACCGGUGCUAAACCGGCUACUUAUAGAUGGCUCCACGGUGCAUUAGCUAGUUGGUGAGGUAACGGCUUACCAAGGCAACGAUGCAUAGCCGACCUGAGAGGGUGAUCGGCCACACUGGGACUGAGACACGGUCCAGACUCCUACGGGAGGCAGCAGUAGGGAAUCUUCCGCAAUGGGCGAAAGCCUGACGGAGCAACGCCGCGGGAGUGAAGAAGGUCUUCGGAUCGUAAAACUCUGUUAGUAGGGAAGCGGUACCUAAUCAGAAAGCCACGGCUAACUCCGUGCCAGCAGCCGCGGUAAUUC
rnacentral:rRNA from 1 species